GAUGAACGCUGGCGGCGUGCCUAAUACAUGCAAGUCGAGCGAACGGACGCUACUCUUGCUUCUCUCAUGUUUGCCGCGGACGGGUGUGUCACAUGUGUAUCCCCUACCUGUCUGACUGGGAUAUUCUCGGGAAACCGGCUCUUAUCCCGGAUAAUAUUCUGCAGCGCAUUGUUCAAAAGUGAGAGUCGGCCUUGCCGGCGCUUGUGGAUGGUUUGGCGCUUUAUUAGCUUGUUGGUGAGGUCGCGGCUUACCAAGGCAACGCUGGGUAGCCGGCCUGAGAGGGUGACCGGCCACACUGGGACUGAGAGACGGCCCAGACUGCUACGUGAGGCAGCAGGGGGGAAUAUUGCACGAGGGGCGGAAGCCUGAUGCAGAAACGCCGCGUGCGGGAUGACGGUCUUCGGGGUGUAAACCGCUUUCGCCUGUGACGAAGCGUGAGUGACGGUAAUGGGUAAAGAAGCACCGGCUAACUACGUG
rnacentral:rRNA from 1 species